UACGUAGGGUGCGAGCGUUAAUCGGAAUUACUGGGCGUAAAGCGUGCGUAGGCGGUUUGUUAAGACAGGUGUGAAAUCCCCGGGCUUAACCUGGGAAUUGCGCUUGUUACUGGCAGACUAGAGUACGUCAGAGGGGGGUGGAAUUCCACGUGUAGCAGUGAAAUGCGUAGAGAUGUGGAGGAACACCGAUGGCGAAGGCAGCCCCCUGGGAUGAUACUGACGCUCAGGCACGAAAGCGUGGGGAGCAAACAGG
rnacentral:rRNA from 1 species